ACCACUCAAACCCUCUAGUGUGUGAAUCUCCCAGAGCUUACACAUUCAAACUGAAACUACACAAGCACUACAAACGUGUGUGUGUGUGUGUGUGUGUGUGUGUGUGUGUUUGUAUUUGUGUAACAAAUACAGUAACAGUAAACCGUUUUUGUGUUGAUCUUGAUGUAUGUUUUGGAUCAUUGUCCUGCUGGAAGAUCCAACCACGGCCCAUUUGAAGCUUUCUGUCAGAGGCAGUCAGGUUUUCAUUUAAUAUCUGUUGAUAUUUGAUAGUCCAUUACGCCAUGCAUCCUUUCUCUGUACCGUCACUUUGGGGUGGUAGUUACAUCCAUCGACUUGGAUAAGCAAGUUACAAGCCAUCGAUAAGGGAAACCUGAGAUCAAGAUACAUCUCAGGUUUUAUUUAUCUAUACGAUAUUUAUUUAUACAUCCAACGAUUUAAACAUACUGGUUCUCCACAAAAGUAUUAAAGAAAGGAUCUCAAAACCGUGAUGUGCCUCCGAACCCUCAAAGCUCCGCUCGCUCGUUUAUUCACAUUGGCAGAAUAUUCCCGAAGUGUUCGCCAGCCUCCUGAAUCAAUAUCCACAAGGUUAUAAUCCACAGUAAGAGCAUUAGCAUGGUCCUUGGCAAACGCACACCAUCAGUUCCGCCAUUCCCACCUGGCUCUCAUUUCCGCGUCCCGCUUUCUCUCACCUAGUCACCUGUUCUUUUUAUUGCUUCCUAAGACCCCACCCUUCUCUUCAUCUCUUUUUUUACUUCCGUUAAUUAAAACACCACGGAAUGGAACGGACUCCGCUUCUGCGUCACUAAAUGGUAAAAUGGUAAAUGGCACACUUAUAUAGCGCUUUUAUCCAAAGCGCUUUACACUGUGUCUCAUUUACCCAUUCACACACCAAUGGUAGCAGAGCUGCCAUGCAAGGCGCUAACUUGCCAUCGGGAGCAACUUGGGGUUCAGUGUCUUGCCCAAGGACACUUUGGCAUGUGGAGUCAUGCUGGCUGGGAAUCAAACCGCCAACCCUACGAUUAGUGGACAACCCGCUCUACCACCUGAUCCACAGCCACCCCGUCACUGUGCAGCUAUCUGUUACAAAUGAAUGGGAAAAUAUCCUUGGCAUCCCUGCAAUUCAAGGAUGUUGUAAUUGGUAAGUUGUGAUGUCAAAAGUAUCUGUACCAAGUUGAUACUAAAAUUUUAAAAAGAAUGAUACGAUAAGUUUUUUUUUCAGUACCGGCAGUACCAAGUAUUCUCCUGCUUUCUGAUUGACUUUCUUUUGUAGGUAUUAAUUAACCGUGAUUUCCACUCAGCCAUCUUACUGGAAUUUGUGUAGGUUAGGAAUAAGACUGAGGAUGGAGUUGUACAGUUUUGUAGUGUGUAUCGUUUGUAAAUAUUGUUAACUUCUUUACCAUAGCCAUGCUGAGGGAGGUGUUGACUAAAUUAGAGAUGGUGCUGGACCAACAAACCACUGAGCUUGCUUCAACUACAGGUGUUCCAGGUGCAGUCUUUGGAUACUGAUGAAGAUUUACUGCCCUGCAAGAUCUUCCUCAACUGCAUAGUCUGGAGCGAAGGAUGCAACAGAGCCCAGAUUGCAAGCAAAAACUGGUGAGAAUUUUUUUCUUUUUUUGUUAACAAUUGCUUGCACAAUUACACAGCGACUGAGAGUGUUUGUUUUCUCAAGGUGACACACUCGUACUCAAAGCACAACAUUCAACACCACUUUGAUAUGAGGGAACAGUUAUGACCUAAUCUUUGGUAGAGGAGCAAAACAUGGAAAGCACACAGGGCAGGGUAACUGCAGGAGUAGUGAGAAGCACUGACACAGUUGACAAGGCAAUACAUGCUUAUUAAUUAUUUAUAUUUUAUAUUAUUUUAUAUUAUAUUAUUGUUUUAAAAAUCAUCGGUUUCGGGUAAACUGGUUGGCGCUUAUUGACAGGGCAGAUGUGCUUGACUGCACCUGGCGCAUAUUGAAGAGGGUGAUUGCUAACUCCCUGGCAAAGAACCUCAAUUGGAGGGGAGUCAAUGGAAAGACUUCACUGGCCACUCUCCAACUUGGGGAGGUCAUGAUUGAAACCUCUUCACGGCUAAAGCUGCAGAGAUGGAGGUCGAGGGGACCAUGAAGAGGUGGCUCCAGCUGGCAUCAGAUCGAGAGUGCGGGCGCAAGAGAAGACUUUUGAAAACUUUUGCAAAAAGAAGGUAUUUAGAGUGUUUUAACUGUGGUGUCUUUGUUAAUUUGUUAAAAUGUUCAUAUUAUAGUCUAUUUUUGAUUGUUUAUAAAAGUCCUUACUGUUUUUAAGUGGUUGAAAUUGUGUGUGUGUGUGUUGGUAGCUGGGUGGCUAUACAGUUGCGGUCGGAAGUUUACAUACCCCUUGCAGAAUCUACAAAAUCUUAAUACUCUUAACAAAAUAAGAUUGAUCAUAAAAAUCCUAAGUUUCUUAUUUAGUACCGCCAUGAAUAAACUAUUUCACAUAACAGAUGUUUACAUAUAGUCCACAAGAUAAUAGCUGAAUUAAUCAAAAUUACCCCAUUCAAAAGUUUACACACGUUUGAUUCUUAAUACUGUGUGUCGUUACCUGAAUGAUCCACGACUCUUUUUAUGUGUUAUGAUAGUUGUUCAUGAGUCCCUUGUUUGUCCUGAGCAGUUAAACUGCCCACUGUUCUUCAGAAAAAUGGUUCAUGGUUCUUCAGGUCCUUCACAUACUUUGCUUUUCCUGCAUAUUUUAGCCCUUUCAAGUAGCGGUUAUAUGAUGUUCCGAUCCAUCUUUUCACACUGAGGACAAUCGAAGGACUCGUACACGACUAUUCCAAAAGGUGCAAACAUUCACUGAUGCUCAAGAAGGUAACAGCAUGCAUUAAGAGCCUGGCUGUAAACGUUGUAAACAGGAUGAUCAUGUAAAUUUUUUUGUCUUCUGGGGUACUUCUUCUAUGCUGUAUGAACCAUCUUUCUGUAAUAAACCUUUUUCACCUCAGAGGACGAAUCUGCAAGUGUUGUCUAAUUUCCACGACACAACUCAGUUUUUACAUAUUUUUUUAUUUUAUUUUUAAGAAAAAUAAUUAAAAUUCAAUAACCUUUUGACUGUAUGAGGUACCGGUAAAUGAGAAAAAACAUAGUACUACUUUCAUAAAAUGUCAUGUGCAGCUUGAUGCUAAUUAUAGUAAUGUCUAGUAAUUCUGAGUCUUGAACAGUAAACUCUCAAGUGUCAUUGUCAUGUCACAGCAAACCAG